CAGUCGAGCGGAGCACUUCGGUGCUUAGCGGCGGACGGGUGAGUAACACGUAGGCAACCUGCCUGUAAGAUCGGGAUAACUACCGGAAACGGUAGCUAAGACCGGAUAGCUGGUUUCGGUGCAUGCCGGAAUCAUGAAACACGGGGCAACCUGUGGCUUACAGAUGGGCCUGCGGCGCAUUAGCUAGUUGGCGGGGUAACGGCCCACCAAGGCGACAAUGCGAAGCCGACCUGAGAGGGUGAUCGGCCACACUGGGACUGAGACACGGACCAGACUCCUACGGGAGGCAGCAGUAGGGAAUCUUCCACAAUGGGCGCAAGCCUGACGGAGCAACGCCGCGUGAGUGAUGAAGGUUUUCGGAUCGUAAAGCUCUGUUGCCAGGGAAGAAUGUCGUGAAGAGUAACUGCUCUGCUAAUGACGGUACCUGAGAAGAAAGCCCCGGCUAACUACGUGCCAGCAGCCGCGGUAAUACGUAGGGGGCAAGCGUUGUCCGGAAUUAUUGGGCGUAAAGCGCGCGCAGGCGGUCUUUUAAGUCUGGUGUUUAAGCCCGGGGCUCAACCCCGGUUCGCACCGGAAACUGGAAGACUUGAGUGCAGGAGAGGAAAGCGGAAUUCCACGUGUAGCGGUGAAAUGCGUAGAGAUGUGGAGGAACACCAGUGGCGAAGGCGGCUUUCUGGACUGUAACUGACGCUGAGGCGCGAAAGCGUGGGGAGCAGACAGGAUUAGAUACCCUGGUAGUCCACGCCGUAAACGAUGAGUGCUAGGUGUUAGGGGUUUCGAUACCCUUGGUGCCUAAGUAAACACAAUAAGCACUCCGCCUGGGGAGUACGCUCGCAAGAGUGAAACUCAGAGGAAUUGACGGAUACCCGCACAAGCAGUGAAGUAUGUGAUUUAAUUCGAAGCAACGCAAAGAACCUUACCAGGUCUUGACAUCCCUCUGAAAGUCCUAGAGAUAGAGUCCUCCUUCCGGACAGAGGUGACAGGUGGAGCAUGGUUGCCGGCAGCUCGUGUCCUGAGAUGUUGGGUUAAGUCCCGCAACCAGCGCAACCCUUGACUUUAGUUGCCAGCAUUCAGUUGGGCACUCUAGAAUGACUGCCGGACACCAACCGAAAGAAGGUGG
rnacentral:rRNA from 1 species